rnacentral:tRNA from 1 species
CACGUAGCUCAGUUGGUUAGAGCACCACCUUGACAUGGUGGGGGUCGUUGGUUCGAAUCCAAUCGUG